GACGUAGGGCGCGAGCGUUGUCCGGAUUUAUUGGGCGUAAAGAGCUCGUAGGCGGCUUGUCACGUCGUCCGUGAAAACCUGCAGCUCAACUGCAGGCUUGCGGUCGAUACGGGCAGGCUAGAGUUCGGUAGGGGAGACUGGAAUUCCUGGUGUAGCGGUGAAAUGCGCAGAUAUCAGGAGGAACACCGGUGGCGAAGGCGGGUCUCUGGGCCGAUACUGACGCUGAGGAGCGAAAGCGUGGGGAGCGAACAGG
rnacentral:rRNA from 1 species